CCUACGGGUGGCAGCAGUGGGGGAUAUUGCACAAUGGGGGGAACCCUGAUGCAGCGACGCCGCGUGGGUGAAGAAGCGCCUCGGCGCGUAAAGCUCUGUCAGCAGGGAAGAAAAUGACGGUACCUGCAGAAGAAGCCCCGGCUAACUACGUGCCAGCAGCCGCGGUAAUACGUAGGGGGCAAGCGUUAUCCGGAUUUACUGGGUGUAAAGGGGGUGCAGGCGGCGAUGCAAGCUAGGGGUGAAAGCCCGGGGCCCAACCCCGGGAUUGCUCUUGGAACUGUGUGGCUGGAGUGCAGGAGGGGCAGGCGGAAUUCCUGGUGUAGCGGUGAAAUGCGUAGAGAUCAGGAAGAACACCAGUGGCGAAGGCGGCCUGCUGGACUGAAACUGACGUUGAGGCCCGAAAGCGUGGGGAGCAAACAGGAUUAGAUACCCUUGUAGUC
rnacentral:rRNA from 1 species